rnacentral:rRNA from 1 species
CAGUAGCCGCGGGAAUACAGAGGGUGCAAGCGUUAAUCGGAAUUACUGGGCGUAAAGCGCGCGUAGGUGGUUCGCCAAGUUGGAUGUGAAAUCCCCGGGCUCAACCUGGGAACUGCAUCCAAAACUGGCGAGCUAGAGUAUGGUAGAGGGUGGUGGAAUUUCCUGUGUAGCGGUGAAAUGCGUAGAUAUGGGAAGGAACAUCAGUGGCGAAGGCGACCACCUGGACCAUUACUGACGCUGAGGUGCGAAAGCGUGGGGAGCAAACAGGAUUAGAUACCCCUGUAGUCCCUGUCUCUUAUAU